rnacentral:lncRNA from 1 species
GUUUUCGUUCCUUUUACUCCACCUUUGACUUUGUAACAGGGAGAAUUUCCAUUCCUUAGUGGAAGUUUGUAGAACGUGACUGUGAUACUGCUUUACAGAGUCCUUGAAAUAGGUUGUCAUACAUCACUGCCCACAGCUUUGCCAGCACUGGUUCAGCUGAGAAGAGGUCUAACUCCAGAGUUAGCUGUACCACAAAAUCCUCGGGAGGACACCGUUCCCUGGUUCUUUCCGACUCAAAAAGAGGUAUUGUUUAAGAAAGUGGGAGGUACACCCUCCGAAGAGAAGAAACAGGAGCAAGGGACACGCAGCCUCUGGAGGGCUUCUCAAGUGCGGUACACGUGAACCCCUUGCCAUUAAAGGGGCUCUUUUCUUGACCGGUUUUUCUUCUGGACAGCAGCUUCUGCAGCAUUCAGAAAGUUACAAAACAAGUCCUUGGACUCGGCCGAGCGUUCAACGUGUAUUAAGUGCCUACUAUGCGCCUAAAUUUUAGAAUUCUAAAUUUUAGAAUUUAAUCUAAAAUAAGUUAGAAUAAGUGACUAAGGCUUUAGGCCCUUAGCCAAAUGUAAUCAGAUUGCACAACUUGGCUAAAUGUUAUCUUACUUAUGGAUUGGACUGUAUUUACUCUGAGUCCAGGCUCGAUGCAUAACUGCUCGAUCUUUCUCCUCCCUGUCUCCUCCCCACCGCCCCCACCCCCGCUCCACCCCACCCGGGCCCCCUGACUGGGUGGGGGAAACAGAGGAAGAGGGAGAGGAUGCCAAGCUGAAGCCAAGUCCCUUGUGAGGCACAUCUCUUUGCUUAUGGUCUCACAAGUCCUCACUCAAUUCCCAAACCCAUCUAGAAGAGCUUGCUUCGUUUCCCACUUCCUAAACAACAAAUUUAUCUGUGUCUACAUUUCCCUCCUUCUCUCCAGUUUUUUUUUUAAAUUUUUUUAAUGUUUAUUUAUUUUUGAGACAGAGAGAGACAGAGCAUGAACGGGGGAGGGGCAGAAUCGGAAGCAGGCUCCAGGCUCUGAGCCAUCAGCCCAGAGCCCGUCGCGGGGCUCAAACUCACGGAUCGUGAGAUCGUGACCUGAGCUGAAGUCGGACGCUUAACCGACUGAGCCACCCAGGCGCCCCUUCUCUCCAGUUUUAAAGCUUGUCUCUCCACCAAUCUUGAUCAGAGCCCCUUUCAGCUUCUCUAGGGUGGAAUCACAUCUUAAGGUGGAGUUUAGAUUCUUGCGUCAGCACACAGGCAAGCGUCACACAGAGUCAAAAUUAUCCUAGUAGGCUUCUCAAAUCACGCAUCACAGGAUGUCAGAUAGGGCUGUGGGAAUGCGGUUCUGUAGGGUAAUAUAGAAGUAGGAGUGUAUCAAGCAAAAGUAAUAUAUAGGUGUAAGGCAUGUGUACUGCACAAGG